ensembl:lncRNA
AGAGAAGAGAGAUGGGUAGAGGACAGGAGGGAGACGAAAGAGAAGAGAGAUGGGUAGAGGACAGGAGGGAGACGAAAGAGAAGAGAGAUGGGUAGAGGGCAAGAUUCAUCCGUGGGCCGGUCGUCUGAGCAGAUGGUCGAGGGGCCGAAACGUUAUUAUAAUAAUAACAAAAAUGUGUACCCAGUAGACUGUCCCCCCCCCAGUAAGACCGAGAAGAGACCGUCCCCAGUAAGGCAGAGAAGAGACCGUCCCCCAGUAAGGCAGAGAAGAGACCGUCCCCCAGUAAGGCAGAGAAGAGACCGUCCCCCAGUAAGGCAGAGAAGAGACCGUCCCCCCAUAAGACAGAGAAGAGACCGUCCCCAGUAAGACAGAGAAGAGACCGUCCCCCAGUAAGACAGAGAAGAGACCGUCCCCCAGUAAGACUGGAUUGAAAAUAACAAUAAUAAUUUCAUCCCUUGAUUAUUUGCAGGAAUACUUUGGAACAGAUUUCCUGAAUUUAAACAUUGUUUUACAUAAUUCCUGGUCAUUUGCAGUCAAUAAUUUCUUUUACAAAUGUUA